UACAGAGGUCUCAAGCGUUGUUCGGAUUCAUUGGGCGUAAAGGGUGCGUAGGCGGCGCGGUAAGUCGGGUGUGAAAUCUCGGAGCUUAACUCCGAAACUGCAUUCGAUACUGCCGUGCUUGAGGACUGGAGAGGAGACUGGAAUUUACGGUGUAGCGGUGAAAUGCGUAGAUAUCGUAAGGAAGACCAGUGGCGAAGGCGGCUCACUGGCCCGAUACUGACGCUGGAGGCACGAAAGCGUGGGGAGCAAACAGG
rnacentral:rRNA from 1 species